AACGCCUGUUGCCGAUCACUACCCCUCCCCUGGUGUGAUCACCCGGAAGGUGCAGGUCCUCCCCAACCGGCCUUCCCCGGCCCCGCAGUCCCCCCUGGCUGCGGGGCUUUUUU
rnacentral:sRNA from 1 species